rnacentral:rRNA from 1 species
GGGGGCACCCUGACGCAGCACGCCGCGUGUGGGAAGAAGGCUUUCGGGUUGUAAACCACUUUUGCCCGGGACGAAAAGGGACCCAAUAACACGGGGUUCCGAUGACGGUACCGGGAGAAUAAGCCACGGCUAACUCUGUGCCAGCAGCCGCGGUAAGACAGAGGUGGCAAGCGUUGUUCGGAAUUACUGGGCGUAAAGAGUCUGUAGGUGGUCUGUCAAGUCUUUGGUGAAAGGCCGUGGCUUAACCAUGGGAAAUGCCAAAGAGACUGGCAGACUGGAGGCUGGGAGAGGGAAGCGGAAUUUCUGGUGUAACGAUGAAAUGCGUAGAUAUCAGAAGGAAGGCCGGUGGCGAAGGCGGCUUCCUGGAACAGUCCUGACACUGAGAGACGAAAGCGUGGGGAGCAAACAGGAUUAAGAUCCCUGGUAAUCCACGCCCUAACGAUGGGUACUAAGUGUGGGAGGGUUAAACCUCCCGUGCCGCACAAACGC